UACUUUAUAAACUUAUACUCUAAUUAAUGUUAAUUUAGAGUUAUUUUAGUGUUUGAUUUUCAAUUUUAGGGUGAAAUCAGAGGUUGUUUUUAUAUUUACUCUAAAUUUUAAGAUUUAGUAAACAAACCAGAUUAGUACCUGGUUAGAUAAAAUUUAAAAGAGCAG
rnacentral:rRNA from 1 species